rnacentral:rRNA from 1 species
GGUAUCCUAACCGUGCAAAGGUAGCGUAAUCAUUUGUCUACUAAUUAUAGACCUGUAUGAAAGGCAAAAUGAGGGUCCAACUGUCUCUUAUAGUGAAUCAAUUAAACUGAUCUCCUAGUAAAAAAGCUAGAAUUACAACAUAAGACCAGAAGACCCUGUGAAGCUUAAAUAAAACUAUUAAACCAUAUAAUAGCUACUUUCGGUUGGGGCGACCUUGGAAAAAAAAAGAACUUCCAAAUAAAAUGAAUAUACCUCAUUAUCUAAAUCAGGCCAACAAGCCAAAAAUGACCCAGCACAGCUGAUAAUUGAACCAAGUUACUCCAGGGAUAACAGCGCAAUCUUCUUCAAGAGCCCAUAUCAAAAAGAAGGUUUACGACCUCGAUGUUGGAUCAGGACAUCCUAAUGGUGCAGCCGCUAUUAAGGGUUCGUUUGUUCAACGAUUAAUA